rnacentral:rRNA from 1 species
UGGGGAAUAUUGCACAAUGGGCGAAAGCCUGAUGCAGCGACGCCGCGUGAGGGAUGAAGGCCUUCGGGUUGUAAACCUCUUCAGCAGGGAAGAAGCGCAAGUGACGGUACCUGCAGAAGAAGCGCCGGCUAACUACGUGCCAGCAGCCGCGGUAAUACGUAGGGCGCAAGCGUUGUCCGGAAUUAUUGGGCGUAAAGAGCUCGUAGGCGGUUUGUCGCGUCUGGUGUGAAAACUCGAGGCUCAACCUCGAGCUUGCAUCGGGUACGGGCAGACUAGAGUGCGGUAGGGGAGACUGGAAUUCCUGGUGUAGCGGUGGAAUGCGCAGAUAUCAGGAGGAACACCGAUGGCGAAGGCAGGUCUCUGGGCCGCAACUGACGCUGAGGAGCGAAAGCAUGGGGAGCGAACAGGAUUAGAUACC